AGCGGGGUAGGGUAGCCUGGUAGCCUGCGGGGCUCAUAACCCCGAGGUCCCCGGUUCGAAUCCGGGCCCCGCUA
rnacentral:tRNA from 1 species